rnacentral:misc_RNA from 1 species
AAAAGCUACGAAGAUAGGCCAAUUUUGGGAGCAUUGACAUUAGAAGAGCUUAGACAGUUUUCUGCAUUUUCAACUCCGAGGCGAUGUAGGAGUCGGAGUCCCGAGGAGACGCCCAUCAUAGGCAGUGUUGGGAGUUAUUGGAGUCAUACAGGACAGGAUGCAGAUUCCAAUCCAGGCUCAUCUUGUCGGGGCUCGAAGACGUCGAGGAAAAGCAGAGAGGAUGAGAGAGUUAACUGGAAUUCUACCCCAUUUCUAGAAAGAUUGGACAUGGCUUUGGCAUCAAAUUCUGCUGAAGUUUAGUAUGUCUCUUGUUUAGAACAUUGUGUGUAUGCUUUGAUUUAUCCUUUGUCUUGUCAUAUUCAUUUUGUCUUGGAGAACUGAGACAUUUUUUUUAGAUGUAAAAAGCAAUUAGAAAAAUAAGUAAAU